CAGUAGCCACGGUAAUACGAAGGGUGCAAGCGUUACUCGGAAUUACUGGGCGUAAAGCGUGUGUAGGUGGUUGUUUAAGUCUGUCGUGAAAGCCCUGGGCUCAACCUGGGAAUUGCGAUGGAUACUGGGCGACUAGAGUGCGGUAGAGGAUAGUGGAAUUCCCGGUGUAGCAGUGAAAUGCGUAGAGAUCUGAAGGAACAUCUGUGGCGAAGGCGACUAUCUGGGCCAACACUGACACUGAGACACGAAAGCGUGGGGAGCAAACAGGAUUAGAUACCCGCGUAGUCCCUGUCUCUUAUAC
rnacentral:rRNA from 1 species